ensembl:lncRNA
GUUUGGCUCCUUUUCAAGGUUGCACCAUGUCUGUCUGAGGGGAACGGGACACGGGGACAAUCAGUGGGAUGUGAGGACCAUCAUUAUUUAGCGGAGGACUGGAAAUCAAGUCAAGGACGUGUCAGCAAACCGAGGGAUUGAGCGAGGAGGCGACCUGGGAGGAGGAGGAGGCGAAUCGGUCCAAAGGGUGACAGAGCAGUCUGAGAAAAGGACGCGACAGCAAGAGCAAGACGGUCAAAGGAGUGGCAGAAUGCCGGGGAGGAGAGGACUGGGACGGGAUCGGACGGGACGCGGAGGACAGGAGUCAUCGCUAUGGUAACGGAGAGCGGUGGCGAGGGCCGAGCGGCGCUGACUCACUGUGAUGCGCUUUCAGUGAGACAUGGAAUGUCACGGUGCACCCCGGGGAGAGGGUCAUCACUCCAAGCGCACCGCAGUCCCUGAGUCCGUAAGGGAGCGGAUGUGGAUUGGAAUCAGGACUGGGAUUAAGACGGGCGUUGGGGAUCAGGAUUGGGACUCGGAUCGGGACAAUGUCGUCCUGAGAGCCACCAUCUUGCCAAAGGACCAGUGGCUGUCACCAGAGGCUCGGUCUGAGACACUGUUGCCGUGGUAACAACUUUUCCGAUUUGAUGACAGGCAUGAAAGGCAUGUUAAGAGAUUGAAUGUUUCUGCAAGGGCGCACACACACACACAC